CCCGCUGAACUUAAGCAUAUCAAUAAGCGGAGGAAAAGAAACUAACAAGGAUUCCCCUAGUAACUGCGAGUGAAGCGGGAAAAGCCCAAAUUUAAAAUCUGGCAGCCAUUUUACGGUUGUCCGAGUUGUAAUCUAGAGAAGUGCUUUCCGCGCUGGACCGUGUACAAGUCUCUUGGGAUAGAGCAUCAUAGAGGGUGAGAAUCCCGUCUUUGACACGGACUACCAGUGCUUUAUGUGAUGCGCUCUCAAAGAGUCGAGUUGUUUGGGAAUGCAGCUCAAAAUGGGUGGUAAAUUCCAUCUAAAGCUAAUAUUUGCCGAGAGACCGAUAGCGACAAAGUACCGUGAGGGAAAGAUGAAAAGAACUUGGAAAGAGAGUUAAACAGUACGUGAAAUUGUUGAAAGGGAAACGCUUGAAGUCAGUCACGUUGGCCAGAAAUCAACUUGUAACAGGGCGUAAUUUCUGGUUUUACGGGUCAACAUCAAUUUUGAUUGUUGGAUAAAAGUCAAUAUUUAUGCGUUUUCGGACGUGUAGCCUUUGAUUGCAUACAAUGGUUGGGAUUGAGGAACUCAGCACGCCGCAAGGCCGGGUAACUUGUUACCACGUAACGUGCUUAGGAUGUUGGCAUAAUGGCUUUAAUCGACCCGUCUUGAAACACGG
rnacentral:rRNA from 1 species